GCUAGGGUGACAGGGACACAACAUGGCGGCGGGAUCCCUAAUGCUCUCCUUCGAGGGACCACCACGGAGAUCCUAGUGCGGGACCCCGCCUCAGGGAAGUGGAAAGCAGGGGGACAACCUUCCUGCCUCUUUCUUUUCCGUCCAGUGUCGGCAAGGGGUUGUCACCGGCUUCCGCAUCCAAGAUGAAGAACUAUAAAGCCAUUGGCAAAAUAGGAGAGGGAACGUUUUCUGAGGUUAUGAAGAUGCAAAGCCUGAGAGAUGGAAACUACUAUGCGUGUAAACAAAUGAAGCAGCGCUUUGAAAGGGAGAAGAUACCCAUUAUCAGAAAAAAAAAUUAUGCAUUAUAUGUACCAGUUAUGUAAGUCCCUGGAUCAUAUUCACAGGUAUGCUCUUGGAGAUUUGACAGCUCUGAAAUUAAUAAAAUGUGUUAACAUUCAGAUUCAAGAAUUUGAAUAAAUGAAGUGUAAUUCUAUUUUUCCUUCUAUACUGAAUGCAGAAAUGGAAUAUUUCACAGAGAUGUAAAACCAGAAAAUAUACUAAUAAAGGUAAGAGCUUUUA
rnacentral:sRNA from 1 species